GUCCACGCCGUAAACGAUGAGUACUAGGUGUAGGGGUCCAACCUCUGUGCCGCAGUUAACACAUUAAGUACUCCGCCUGGGAAGUACGAUCGCAAGAUUAAAACUCAAAGGAAUUGACGGGGGCCCGCACAAGCAGCGGAGCAUGUGGUUUAAUUCGAAGCAACGCGAAGAACCUUACCAGGGCUUGACAUCCUAAGAAUCCUUUAGAGAUAGAGGAGUGCCCUUCGGGGAACUUAGAGACAGGUGGUGCAUGGUUGUCGU
rnacentral:rRNA from 1 species